rnacentral:rRNA from 1 species
GCCUGUUUAUUCAAAAACAUGGCUUUUUGCAAAAAAAAUAAAAAAAGUCUAACCUGCCCGGUGAAAUUAUUUAAACGGCCGCAUUUUUGCGUUAAAGUAGCAUAAUAAAUUGUCUCUUAAUUAGAGGAUAGUAUGAAAGGUUGGAUGUUGGAGAAGCUUUAUUGGAAGCAUUAAUUGAAGUUUACAUAUAAGUGAAAAGGCUUAUAUGAGAUUGUUAGACGAGAAGACCCUGUUGAGCUUGGUACCUUUAUAUCAUGCUUGGUAUGAAGUAUGUUUGAUCGGGGCCGAUGGGAAGAGAUAAAAUUUCUUCUUAAGUAAGAUAUAGAUCCAGCAUGGCUGAUAAGAAAAAAAAGUUACCACAGGGAUAACAGCGCAAUUCUUUUUUAAAGUCCUUAUUUGUAAAGGAGAUUGCGGACCUCGGAUGUUGGAAUCAAGCCCUUCUUCUAGGUGCAGGAAGCUUAGGAUAAGUAGGGACUGUUCGUCCUUGAAAAGGCUUUACGUGGAUCU